rnacentral:rRNA from 1 species
CUUCCGUAGGUGAACCUGCGGAAGGAUCAUUACAGAAUGAAAAGUGCUUAACUGCAUUUUUUCUUACACAUGUGUUUUUCUUUUUUUGAAAACUUUGCUUUGGUAGGCCUUCUAUAUGGGGCCUGCCAGAGAUUAAACUCAACCAAAUUUUAUUUAAUGUCAACCGAUUAUUUAAUAGUCAAAACUUUCAACAACGGAUCUCUUGGUUCUCGCAUCGAUGAAGAACGCAGCGAAAUGCGAUAAGUAAUAUGAAUUGCAGAUAUUCGUGAAUCAUCGAAUCUUUGAACGCACAUUGCGCCCUUUGGUAUUCCAAAGGGCAUGCCUGUUUGAGCGUCAUUUCUCCCUCAAACCCUCGGGUUUGGUGUUGAGCGAUACGCUGGGUUUGCUUGAAAGAAAGGCGGAGUAUAAACUAAUGGAUAGGUUUUUUCCACUCAUUGGUACAAACUCCAAAACUUCUUCCAAAUUCGACCUCAAAUCAGGUAGGACUACCCGCUGAACUUAAGCAU